GACUCUGUGGCAAGAGCUUGAGGGAAGUGGUGAAGGCAAGGGUGUGAAUUGGGCCUUUCCUUUCCAGAUCAGCAGCAGCACCAGAGACCAGCAUUGAGAGACACGCACUCCAAACUGUGGGUCUGACACAGGCUCAGUUGUAGCCCUGAUUCAGCACUGGAGGCCACGCGCUGGGCCACCGGGCCUGCCAGCUUCUCCUCAUGCAGAGCCGGUGUUGCACGAGGCAGGACUGAUGGUGCAAGCCGCUCUCCCCGUGUCAGCCUUGCGGGGUCCGCCGGUCAGAGUGUAGCCGGGGAGAUGAAAAAUCGAGUGAAUGCUGGCUUCGACUUGUGCUGUGUGGCCAUUAGGACACACUUAAGGAGUCACUAGGAAAUGGAUUGCAUCUGUGUCCUGACGGAGCUGUCUGCCCUUGACAGGCCCAGUUAGGGAGGCUGUGCUCACGGAUUCUACUCAUAUGAGAACUCAGCAGAGCACCAGGCUCAGCAGCAGGGAGACGAGAAUGGAUGAGGGUGAAGGAGGACCACCUGCCCAACCGAGAUACACAGAGGGUCCCUAAAGCUCGAACUUUGAGCUGCUUCGGAACUCCUCGGGAUUCUAGAGUUUGUUCACAUAUAACCUGUGCCUACCACUCCCCCCCGCCCCAUCUCCUUUUCCUGCAGAACUAUAGGGAAUCUCUGAGACAGAGGAAUGAGGGAAAAUGGGAGAUAAGAUGUCCGGGCACAAGAGAAAGAGACACAGAGAGUGAAGCUGGAAUGGUUUGAUUGGGAAGCAAUGUAAUAAUUUCCAGUGCAGAGCAGAGGGCAUCUCCCGCUGUAAGCUGAUGUAACUGAACGGAAUGCCUUUAGACUAAAUUAAACCUUAACCAGGUUUAAGGACAAGAUGAGCCAGAGUGAAGGACGCUGUCUGAAAUUUGUCAGCAGCGAGACACAGACAGAGUAAGAGGGAGCCAGGGGCUGAUUUGUAUAAGCAACUUUGCUGCAGGUGUAGACAAACAGGCGUAAAUUGUUGCAAAAGAGUUUCAUGUAAUUCUGUCAUUCGCUCAACUUGGUAUUUGAUACUUCUUGGCCUUUCUUAAAUUAUUUUCAUUAUAGAUAUUUUUUAACAUUUAUUUAUUUUUUUUGAGAGACAGAACAUGAACGGGGAGGGUCAGAGAGAGGGAGACACAGAAUCCAAAGCAGGCUCCAGGCUCUGAGCUGUCAGCACAGAGCCCGACGCGGGGCUCGAACUCACGGACGCGAGAUCAUGACCUGAGCUGAAGUCGGCCGCUUAACCGACUAAGCCACCCAGACGCCCCUCAUUAUAGAUUAUUAAAAUAAUCAGUUGCUUCAUAAAUUAUGCUUCUUGUGUUCAAAAUUUUUCCCCUCCCUCUGCCUCUCGUUCACUCAACACUUGAGGCUCACAGACUGUUUCAGCAGCCAAGUGUUACCUGGAAAACAGUGUCCGCCAAACCAAGAAGACCUGGGGAUGCUCUCAGCUCCUUUUAUCAACUAUUCACACACUGCCUGAUGCACAGCUCUCUGGUACCGUCUUUGGAGCCCUUUUUUUCCCCCUCUACUACAACAUAAAGCACAUGCAAAGGCAUGUGCAGCUGGACUGUUCCCAGAUUUAAAUACCAGCUGUCUCACUGUGAGAAGU